UACGUAGGGCGCAAGCGUUAUCCGGAAUUAUUGGGCGUAAAGAGCUCGUAGGCGGUUUGUCGCGUCUGCCGUGAAAAUCCAGGGCUUAACCCUGGACCUGCAUCGGGUACGGGCAGACUAGAGUGCGGUAGGGGAGAUCGGAAUUCCUGGUGUAGCGGUGAAAUGCGCAGAUAUCAGGAGGAACACCGGUGGCGAAGGCGGAUCUCUGGGCCGUAACUGACGCUGAGGAGCGAAAGCAUGGGGAGCGAACAGG
rnacentral:rRNA from 1 species